GCUUAAAUAGUUUAUCAAAACAUCAACUUGUGGCGUUGAAGAUAUCAAAUUGAUUUUAGGUA
rnacentral:tRNA from 1 species